rnacentral:sRNA from 1 species
GUUUCUGCUGAUGUACUCCACGGUUCUGUGCAGCUAUUACAAUUCAGCCCUGACGACAGCAGUGGUUGGAGCCAUCAAGCAUGGCAGGGGGCUUGAGAUAUUCCUUUUUAACACUGAGCAGCCAGUUAAAACCUAAACCUGUGGGUGAAGAAAACAUCUGUUUGGAUUUGAAGAGCUAAAGAGUCUGCAGCAGGAUUGGAGACUGACUUGUGACUGCGGGCUGGGGGGGCAUUCCCAGUAGGAAUGUGAAGCCAGAGGUUUCAGAUUCGUGACAUCCACCCCCUGGGCAAGUGAGAGCAUCUGCAAAAUGCAAAGAGAACUACCUCAUAUGCAGGAUGAGCCAAUGGCAGUCUCAAGAAAUGUACUUGGGUGACACCUUACCUGUGGAAAGCAAAUCUUUUCAAAAUAAGCCACUGGGACUCGGUAGGUGGAGCCCCAGCUGCUCUUCUAGGGACCUAUGGGGCCUUCGUGGCAUCUCUGUGCUGUGUGCUGGGGAGGAGGUUGAUGUAAUGGUGACUCUUUUCUGAUCAGCACCUUGGCCGUGAUUCCCAAGGUCCCAGCCAAAGCAAAGGGCCAGUUGUUUCAGUUUAAACAGACAUGUCUUUAGUCUAAUAAAAUUAGUUAACUGCCAGUAAAGUUAUUUGUUAGCUUUGAUGAAAGCUAUGUUGGUAUCUUUCCCUAAUCAUCAAAGUAAAUAAAAAAUCAUUUCUAUGUA